CCCUUAGACGUUCUGGGCCGCACGCGUGCUACACUGAGUGGAUCAGCGGGUCAGGUUGCGCGAAAGUGUUUCCUAAUCUUGAAAUCCGCUCGUGAUGGGGAUUGACGGUUGCAAUUUUCCGUCAUGAACGAGGAAUACCUUGUAAGCGCGGGUCAUCAUCCCGCGCUGAAUACGUCCCCGCCCUUUGUACACACCGCCCGUCGCUCCUACCGAUUGAGUGGUCCGGUGAGGCUUUGGGAUCUGAGCGGAAAGAGCGUUUCGCUGUUUCUGCUCGGAAAACUCAGUCGAACCUUAUCAUUUAGAGGAAGGAGAAGUCGUAACA
rnacentral:rRNA from 1 species